rnacentral:lncRNA from 1 species
GCUGUUACUCGUAAAAACUAAUAAUAAUAAUUUAAUUUAUAUUUUUAAAAUUAUUUUUUUAUUACUCUUAAAGAAAAAGAAAUUUUAAUAACUUUUCAGUUACCUUUGUUUAAAUAAAAAGAAAAAAAGGAGUUACAUUACUCUUUACCUAACCAUAUCAGAUGUUGAAUCGCAGACAUACUAUCAAAUUAGAAAAUUUUCCUCACUUUGCUGCUUUUCUUGCGGAUGGACUUGCUUGGGUGUGAUUUUCCCUCUCAUUGGUCGUGUGCGAGUUUCUCGCUUAAGGGAUGGCUCUUUUCUUCUUCUUGUUGGUUCAGCUCUAAUUGCAGGGAAUAGGCUUCAUUCUCUCUUUUUCUCUCUCUUGGUUCUAAUUGAGGUUUUGUUCUGAUUUGGGAUUUGAAAUUAGGGUUUUGUUUGUUCUUUGAUUUUCGGGGUUUCUUUUCUACGUUUUUUAUUUGCUGGAGGUACGCGUUCUCCUAAAUACUCUUUAUCUCUCUCUUUUUAAGACUGCAGUUGUUGGGUGUUUCUUCCUGAUAUGUCUUUUUUUUUUUCUUUUCAAAAGUUGAUCACUAAAGUAUAUUUUUUAAUUAUUUUCUGGUUGAAAAUGGGUAUUGAACGAUACACCCUUAAAAAAUCCUAGCGGGCAGUGAGUUGAGUGACUUGAGUUAUCAAUAGAGACUAUCUAGACAGUAUCUUUAUUCUACCUAACUCGGUUUCAUCCCUAGUGAUUAAUAAAUAUUUUUAUUCAACCUAACUCGUUUUCUAAUUAAUAAAUAUGUUUGAUGCGAUAUUAUUU